rnacentral:piRNA from 1 species
UUGUCAUAUAUUUUAUGUACA